GACGAACGCUGGCGGCGUGCUUAACACAUGCAAGUCGAACGAUGAACCCGGAGCUUGCUCCGGUGGAUUAGUGGCGAACGGGUGAGUAACACGUGAGUAACCUGCCCUUGACUCUGGGAUAACUGCGGGAAACUGUAGCUAAUACCGGAUACGACCCUCGGCGGCAUCGCCAGGGGGUGGAAAGAAUUUCGGUCAAGGAUGGACUCGCGGCCUAUCAGCUAGUUGGUGAGGUAACGGCUCACCAAGGCGACGAAGGGUAGGCGGCCUGGGAGGGUGACCGGGCAAACUGGGACUGAGAAACGGCCCAGACUCCUACCGGAGGCCGCAGUGGGGAAUAUUGCACAAUGGGCGCAAGGCUGAUGCAGCCACGCCGCGUGAGGGAUGGCGGGCUUCGGGUUGUAAACCUCUUUUAGUAGGGAAGAAGCGAAAGUGACGGUACCUGCAGAAAAAGCACCGGCUAACUACGUGCCAGCCGCCGCGGUAA
rnacentral:rRNA from 1 species